rnacentral:rRNA from 1 species
CCUACGGGAGGCAGCAGUGGGGAAUAUUGCGCAAUGGGCGAAAGCCUGACGCAGCGACGCCGCGUGAGGGAUGAAGGUCUUCGGAUCGUAAACCUCUGUCAGCAGGGAAGAACGGUCACUGUGCUAAUCAGCAAGGAGUUGACGGUACCUGCAAAGGAAGCACCGGCUAACUCCGUGCCAGCAGCCGCGGUAAUACGUAGGGUGCGAGCGUUAAUCGGAAUUACUGGGCGUAAAGCGCUGGUAGGCGGUAUGUCAAGUCAAGGGUGAAAUCCCCGGGCUCAACGUGGGAACUGCCUAUGAGACUGGAAAACUGGAGUGUGUGAGAGGAUAGUGGAAUUCCAGGUGUAGGAGUGAAAUGCGUAGAUAUCUGGAGGAACAUCAGUGGCGAAGGCGACUAUCUGGCACAUAACUGACGCUGAGGAGCGAAAGCGUGGGUAGCAAACAGGAUUAGAUACCCUUGUAGUC